GAUAUUUUGGAGUCUGCCAUUUUUUACCACUAAUGCUGCAAGCACCUGCACCUUGGAGUCACCUGCAAAAGACUGCUGCCUUUCCUGUCGGUAUCCGCCAGUGCAAAGGCUCUGUAGUACAGGGGAGUGAUCA